rnacentral:rRNA from 1 species
UGGGGAAUAUUGGACAAUGGGCGCAAGCCUGAUCCAGCCAUGCCGCGUGAGUGAAGAAGGCCUUCGGGUUGUAAAGCUCUUUUACCAGGGACGAUAAUGACGGUACCUGGAGAAUAAGCCCCGGCAAACUUCGUGCCAGCAGCCGCGGUAAUACGAAGGGGGCUAGCGUUGUUCGGAAUUACUGGGCGUAAAGCGCACGUAGGCGGAUUGUUAAGUCAGAGGUGAAAUCCCGGAGCUCAACUUCGGAACUGCCUUUGAUACUGGCAAUCUCGAGUCCGGAAGAGGUUAGUGGAAUUCCCGGUGUAGGGGUGAAAUCCGUUGAUAUCGUGGGGAACACCAAAGGCGAAGGCAGCGCACUGGCCAAAAUCUGACGCUCACACACGAAAGCUAGGGUAGCGAAGAGGAUUAGAUACCCAUGUAGUCCCUGAGCGGGCUGGCAAGGCGCAU